CUCCUCCUCAGUGCAGCGAACAUGUAGAGCCAGGGGGUGAGCGACCAAGACAAAUCCCUUUUUCCCCGAGCCUGCUUCACAGCAUCAACACGGGCCGAACUAAACCGGUUCCGAGACACAUUCCAAGCCGCGAGGGUCGCUUCCGCCGCUGUUACUGCGCUGAUCCCUGCCGCUCCCUUCCUAUCUGUGCUACAACUGGAGUGGUUCCCUCUGCCUUGCCUCGCCUAGCAGCAGCGGGCACAACUGACUCUCCGCUGCGUGACUCUCUCCCCUUCCCCACCCCUUCAACUACUGCCUCAGUUUCUUUCUUCUCUCCCCUUCUGGUGAAGACCGGAGUUUAUGCUUAAGCCUGCGCUGAGAGGAAGGCAGCCAGUGAUUUGUGAUGAAUUGACCGUUGAAAAAAAACACGUUUCGGGUUUUAUUUUUGCCUUCCAUAAGGAUGAUAGGAAGGAGGAUUGCAAAAUAACAUUUCCUAGGAGGCGGGCUUAAAAAGGCGUCUUACAAUGAAUUCACAAAGGUGGCAGUCCCGUCCUCCUUUACCUCCCUGCCCCCGCGGAUGUGUCAGACCUGAGACGCUUCCUGGAGUUACUGUUACCGCUCGUGUUUGUCUGCGUGGGUGUAAAUAGGCCGCAUUGCAGGAACUGAAACACCCGAUGCUAAAAGCGUUGCCGGGGUGAGGAAUUUACAAGUGGACGUACCGAAGUGGAGCGGCUUUUAAAAACAACCUUUUUGGACGAGCUCGGGGGGAAAUGCUGAUGGUUGGAUGAAGGGCCCUUUGCUGGAGGCUGAUGCUCUCUGCCAUCACCAGACUUACUGGAAAUAUUUUAAUUGUGGAUUGUGAAGGAGUGUUUGGUGAAAGAGAAUGUCCUAGUCUGAUAGUUUUUCUGUUUUUUUCUCUGUACAGGUAAAACUGUGAACAAUCACAGAACGGCUUAAUAGCAUUUCUAGCUGAUGAAUUAACUAUGUCUUUUGCUACUCGUUUUGCUCAUCAGUACUUGGACAAAAAUCCUUUCAUUUUUAGAGGAAACCUUCCUUGUCUGUGGACUUCAGCAUUCAGCCAUACAGUUGAACACAGCUAGUUUUAAAUACCCUGUGACAUAUAAACACACUCUUUCAGCGCUGGAUGGAUAUUAUUUACACAAAGGGAUAAUAUCUUGCACCAAUGUACUUAAAUCUUUUCAAGUCUUAGGAUUUCCUGAAUUACACUGUCUUUAAUACAGAUUUAAAAUGCUUCUCUCAGGCUUAAAGAGCUAUUAAAUCUAUAAUGUUGGAUGAAUCAAAGUUUGUUUUAUAAAUGUAUGUGGUUUUAUUUGAAAGUACAAAAAUGAAGAUGGUACUGGAGAAUACAGUAAUUCAGUACUGGAGAUAUUAAUAUCUAAUGAGUACAUAGUCACAUAAGUUUAAUAAAGACAGAGUAAACUAGGCUCUGAAAAAAAUGUAUUAUAUACCUCUGUUCCAAGUUAAUACAAAAGGUCCAAAUCCUAUAAUUGUUUAUUCAUUCACAACUUCAAGCUAUCCAUUUGAAAUAAAGAUAAAUAACUGAUGUAGUAAAUGAAGUAUGUUUCUAAGUCUUUGUGCUUAAUUUAAUAUAGUGCAACUCUGUAAGUCAAGGGGGAAAAUAUUUUUUGGUAACAAACUGAAGUUUAAUAAACUACCUUUUUAGGGUUCACAUACCCAUAUGUAUGUGGACAUAUACACCUAUGAAUUCAAAGGAAAAUGGGAUUCUAAAAUGACAAAGUUGGCCUAGGGAUACUACUUAAUCUGCUUCUAACUGACUGUUACCGAAUCAUGUUGAUGGAGUCUAUAGGUGAUUUUAGUAACUUAUUUAUAUAACAAUUUUUUGUCUUAAUUGAUGAUUUAGUGUGUAAAUAAAAUGUAAAUACUGAAAUUUUGCUUUUCAAAUGCUAGAUGUCUUCUAUAUCAAAUAUGCUUUAUCCAGUACAAACAUCAUGGUAAAACAUAUCACAUUUGACUACUUUGUUUCUGUUGGAAUUUUCCAAUGAAAAGCUCACUGGACCAUUUUAUGUUUUCUAAGUCUUGUUCAACAAAAAGAAUUUGUAGAAAUGACUAUUUUGUCUGAGUAUUAUAUUAUUACCUGCACAAGAAAACAACUAAUUUAAGUCAUUAGUUGUUUUAGAACUUGGUGUUGUAACACACAUGAGCAAAUUGGGAUUUUUUUCAUUAAGGGAAAUUAAAUACUUCAUGUUUUACUCCAUUAGGUAUUACUGUAAUCCACUUUUAAGAAGCAAAGUGCAAAUUCUUCACACCUGACACCAUGUUUUCUUAGAGGUUGCUUGUUUUAUAAGGACUGGUAUAAUGUACAGGUACCUGUAAUUUUCUUAAUGGAAUGCACAAACACUGUUUUACUUGCCUGUUAGUAAUUUAUAGGUAAUACGUACUUCUGUGCAGAAUUUUAAAAUAAAAGUGAUGUGUCGGUAAAAUAUUUUUAAAAAUUAAUGUCGU